ensembl:lncRNA
UGAAAAAGUUCUAUUUAAGUGUUGAUUUGAUUGAACAGGGUUUGCAGUAAUCAGGCCUGGUUGUGUCUAGUCCAGCUGAACUCUGUUAAAAGCUGUAUUUUUUUUUAUCUUAGAUUUUGUUUUAAUUUCUGAAAUCAUUUCGUAUGAGAUAUGCACAAAACAGCACUCUACAGUACAUCACUAUAUUGGUCAAAGUGUGCCAUUCCCUAGAAUCCCUUACCCAGUGUGAUUAUGUAUGUUACAGGAAAAAAAAAGUUUUUCAAAACCCUAGUUGACAUCUGACGACUUUUCCCAGACUAACAAACACAGACACGCACAUGUACAGGUCAAGUUUCCCAGGUUAGCUGGAUGAGUCUGCUGAAUAAAGAAAUUCAAAAGUGCACUGACGUUUUUAACCGACUUCUGAAGAAUAGACCACACCAAAUACUCGUUAAUCACAAUAUGCCACGGAGCCAGCGUUCAAUCACAUUUUGACAUGUUUUUCAAAUGCCAAGCACAAGGGCAAAGACGACGCUUUACUUCUGCUUCCUUCAAAGCAUCUCGCCAG